UAUAUUUCUUUAGCUCAUGGGUAUUUGAUUUUGGGAAUAAAUCCUAGUGAUUUGAUAAGAUUUGUGUCUAAAUCUCUUGGGUUGAUUGGAAAAUGAGAGAGAGAUACCGAGAGAAAUCUGCAGAAAUUGAGGGAAAGCCCGAAAUGUGAGAUGCUGUCCGGCCAUGAGAGACGAAGAAGGGAAGGAGAAGCAACGGUUCAUGGGUUCCGGCCAUGGGCCUUUGUGGGGAUAGUGUCCGGAUUGGAGACUUAAAUGGGUUCUCUGAUGUAGAGUUCGAGUCAUGAGUCCAAUGCAGCCAAAAUGAUGUUUCUUUGGCUGCAGGUAUUCCGGUCGUAGUAUAUGGUGUUGUAGAAGUAUACUGAGGAUAUUAUGACUGAAGCUCAACGCGACGGUUGUAAUGUGUUAGACCGCGGGAUGUCUAUUCCUUUAGGUAUUUUGAUUAUGGCUUGUGACGCUUGUGCCACAUGAUCUUUGUUAAGCCAUUUAUGUGAUGUAUUUAAUUCGAGGAAAGAUUUAAUCAUAUAGUUAUUUAAUGGCUCUUUGUUGUAAUUAUUUGUGAUAGAUGUAUAAGAUGUGAUUUCCGCUAUUAGGUUA